UGAGGAACAUGACCUUCGGCGGGGGAUAGCUGGCCCAACGGCCGGGUAAUACCGCGUACGACCACAUGGGGACAUCCCUGAGUGGUGAAAGCAGCAAUGCGCCGAUGGAGUGCCUCGCGGCCUAUCAGCUAGUUGGUGAGGUAACGGCUCACCAAGGCGACGACGGGUAGCUGGUCUGAGAGGAUGGCCAGCCACAUUGGGACUGAGACACGGCCCAGAUCCCGUACGGGG
rnacentral:rRNA from 1 species